rfam:Trichomonas vaginalis G3, whole genome shotgun sequence.
GUUGUCUGCCAUACGCAGGAAGACCCGCUGAACUGAAGCAUCUCAUUAGGCGGAGGAAAAGAAACUAACUAGGAUUCCCUUAGUAAAGGCGAUCGAAAAGGGAACAGCCCAACGUCUUAUUCCCGCAAGGGAAAUGUAGUCGGUUCACCUAUUGCACUGGUCUAAGUCAGAUGGAAUGCUGCGCGAUUCAGAGUAAAAGCCUCGUAUGACCAACCGCAAGCUUACGAUGGACCGGGGAGAGUCGGAUACUUUGAGAGUAGUGUCUUAAGGGGGUGGUAUGUCCCAUCCAAGGCUAAAUAACGUGAGGAGACCGAUAGAUUACAAGUAGUGUGAACGAAAGAUGAAAAGAACUCUAAAACAGAGGGUGAAAAGUUCCUGAACUUGCUUAGGGUUAAGGCUAUUUAUAGUACCCGUCUUGAAACACGGAUUAGGGAGUUUAUCUGUAGUGCGAGUCUUUGCACGUUAACUGUAAAGGCGUAGAGAAAGCAACUGGCGUUUGCAUGGCUACUGAGCAUUACUGAUAGGACCCGAAAGGUGGUGAACUUUGCCUGCACAGGUUGAAGUCAGGGGAAACUCUGAUGGAGGACCGUACGGGUUAUUGAUGUGCAAAUCAUUUUUCUGAUGUAGGUAAAGGUGCGAAAGACUCAUCGAACCACCUAAUAGCUGGUUUCCUCCGAAGUUUCCCUCAGGAUAGCUGUAAUGCAUUUAGUUAAGGGGAGUAGAGAUAUGGGUAGAGGUGCAGGGAGCCUUCGGGUUCUCAACUUAUUUCCAAACUUCGAACCUCCUUGUUAGGCAUUUACCUAACUGGAAAUGCUUAAAUGAAUUAGCGUUACAAGUGGGCUCUGACCGGUAAGCGGUC